UCGAGCGAGUCUGCCUUGAAGAUCGGAGUGCUUGCACUCUGUGAAACAAGAUACAGGCUAGCGGCGGACGGGUGAGUAACACGUGGGUAACCUGCCCAAGAGAUCGGGAUAACACCUGGAAACAGAUGCUAAUACCGGAUAACAACAGAUGAUGCCUAUCAACUGUUUAAAAGAUGGUUCUGCUAUCACUCUUGGAUGGACCUGCGGUGCAUUAGCUAGUUGGUAGGGUAACGGCCUACCAAGGCGAUGAUGCAUAGCCGAGUUGAGAGACUGAUCGGCCACAUUGGGACUGAGACACGGCCCAAACUCCUACGGGAGGCAGCAGUAGGGAAUCUUCCACAAUGGACGCAAGUCUGAUGGAGCAACGCCGCGUGAGUGAAGAAGGGUUUCGGCUCGUAAAGCUCUGUUGUUGGUGAAGAAGGACGGGGGUAGUAACUGACCUUUGUUUGACGGUAAUCAAUUAGAAAGUCACGGCUAACUACGUGCCAGCAGCCGCGGUAAUACGUAGGUGGCAAGCGUUGUCCGGAUUUAUUGGGCGUAAAGCGAGUGCAGGCGGUUCGAUAAGUCUGAUGUGAAAGCCUUCGGCUCAACCGGAGAAUUGCAUCAGAAACUGUCGAGCUUGAGUACAGAAGAGGAGAGUGGAACUCCAUGUGUAGCGGUGAAAUGCGUAGAUAUAUGGAAGAACACCGGUGGCGAAGGCGGCUCUCUGGUCUGUUACUGACGCUGAGGCUCGAAAGCAUGGGU
rnacentral:rRNA from 1 species